AGCAGCCGCGGUAAUUCCAGCUCCAAUAGCGUAUAUUAAAGUUGCUGCAGUUAAAAAGCUCGUAGUUGAAUUUCGGGACCCUCAUGUUGGUCGUGCCUCGGUACGUACUGGCAUUGUUGGUUUCUCCCUUCUGACGAACCAUGAUGUCAUUUAUUUGGUGUCGUGGGAAAUCAGGACUGUUACUUUGAAAAAUUAGAGUGUUUAAAGCAGGCUCACGCUUGAAUACAUUAGCAUGGAAUAAUGAAAUAGGACGUUUGAUUCUAUUUUGUUGGUUUCUAGGAUCGACGUAAUGAUUAAUAGGGAUAGUUGGGGGCAUUAGUAUUCAAUUGUCAGAGGUGAAAUUCUUGGAUUUAUUGAAGACUAACUACUGCGAAAGCAUUUGCCAAGGAUGUUUUCACUAAUCAAGAACGAAAGUUAGGGGAUCGAAGACGAUCAGAUACCGUCGUAGUCUUAACCAUAAACUAUGCCGACUAGGGAUCGGAUGAUGUUAAUUUUUUAAUGUACUCAUUCGGCGCCUUAA
rnacentral:misc_RNA from 1 species